GAUGAACGCUAGCGGCAGGCCUAACACAUGCAAGUCGAGGGGUAGCAGGAUUAAGCUUGCUUAAUUGCUGACGACCGGCGCACGGGUGCGUAACGCGUAUGCAACCUACCUUAUACUGGGGUAUAGCCCGGAGAAAUUCGGAUUAAUCCCCCAUAGUACUAAUGAAUCGCAUGGUUUAUUAGUUAAAGCAUUGCGGUAUAAGAUGGGCAUGCGUCCUAUUAGCUAGAUGGUGAGGUAACGGCUCACCAUGGCUACGAUAGGUAGGGGGCCUGAGAGGGUGGUCCCCCACACUGGUACUGAGACACGGACCAGACUCCAACGGGAGGCAGCAGUGAGGAAUAUUGGUCAAUGGGCGCAAGCCUGAACCAGCCAUGCCGCGUGCAGGAAGAAUGCCCUAUGGGUUGUAAACUGCUUUUAUUUGGGAAUAAACCUCUUUACGUGUAGAGAGCUGAAGGUACCAAAUGAAUAAGCACCGGCUAACUACGUGCCAGCCGCCGCGGUAA
rnacentral:rRNA from 1 species